CAGCUCUUAGAUAGCUAUCCCAGCGGAGCAAAGAGAUCGAGGACUCUACUCCAGCCUGUCCAGUGUUCCAGCAUCUGCAGUAAUGCCAGUGAAAUACAGCUAAGUCACCAGAACUGCCAACAUCCUUUCUGCAAAGAGUCCUCAAACACAUCCCUUAAUGUUCGAGGGACUCAUCAAUGCCAUGGUGAUUGAACUGCAUCCCUAAAAAGAUCUAUUGAAGCCUAACCCUCAGUACCUCAGCAUGUGAC
rnacentral:lncRNA from 1 species